rnacentral:rRNA from 1 species
GACGAACGCUGGCGGUGUGCUUCACACAUGCAAGUCGAACGAGGUAGCAAUACCUAGUGGCGGACGGGUGAGUAACGCGUGGGAAUCUGCCUUUAGAUGGGGGAUAACGGGUCGAAAGACUCGCUAAUACCGCAUAUGACGAAAGUUGAAAGGAGUAAUCCGUCUAAAGAUGAGCCCGCGUCCGAUUAGCUAGUUGGUAGAGUAAAGGCCUACCAAGGCGACGAUCGGUAGCUGGUCUGAGAGGAUGAUCAGCCACACUGGGACUGAGACACGGCCCAGACUCCUACGGGAGGCAGCAGUGGGAAUAUUGGACAAUGGGCGCAAGCCUGAUCCAGCAAUGCCGCGUGUGUGAAGAAGGCCUGCGAGUUGUAAAGGCACUUUUGUCGGGGAAGAAUACUCUGGACUAAUACUCUGGGGUGAUGACGGUACCUGAAGAAUAAGCACCGGCUAACUACGUG